AUGAUACCUCAGCCUGAUGAAAGCGUAACUACCUUCACUGGGAAUCGCAUCUGGGAAGUUUUUUCACCUGGGCAAAUGAUGAAGGGUGAUGUAAUGGACUUCCUCAUUGAUGAUUGGAAGCAAGAUCUCCAGAGAAAUGCUGAUUUUGCAUCUGGGAAAAGGAUAUUGCUGAGUCCAUAUUUCAUCACGGUUGUGCUUGACUAUUCGUUUUACGGUGAUGAAAAUAAAGUGUGUAAUGUGGAGAGUGCAACGAGAGAAUUCAAGAUCUAUGUUAAAGAUAAGGAAGACUUGCUCAGUGCUGACCUUAUCAUGAUGCCUCUAUUCAAGCCUAUGGUUUUAGCAAAUGAUAAGAAAGUGAACCACUAUUCCUUAUAUGUCAUGAAUCGGUACCGAAGUAGCAUUGGCAUCCUUGACUCUUUACCUUAUCCGAAGAACCGCCGUCCUUCAUAG
rnacentral:rRNA from 1 species